UCACACAUGACGCCUCUCUUUAUGUUCUGUACCUGGUGUGUUAGUUUCCUGUGCCUGCCCUAACAAAGCACCACAAACCAGGUCUUUGAGGAAUCACCACACUGUCUUCCACAAUGGUUGAACUAAUUUACUUUCCCACCAACGGUGUAAAAAGGGGAAAAAGAAAUCCUUCCAUUCUCUAAACUAGCUUGAGUUGAUUUAUAUCACAGCAUCUCCAAGAGCAUAGAUCUUCUGCUACACGACAGGGCCAGGGCCAGGACACCACUUUCAGCUCCAGGCAAUUGCACUGAGGACUCAGUGACACAACCGUGUGAAGUGCCUGCUUCCCCUUCGCCUUCUGCCA
rnacentral:lncRNA from 1 species